rnacentral:rRNA from 1 species
GACGGGGGGGGCAAGUGUUCUUCGGAAUGACUGGGCGUAAAGGGCACUUAGGCGGUGAAUCGGGUUGAAAGUGAAAGUCGCCAAAGAGUGGCGGAAUGCUCUCGAAACCAAUUCACUUGAGUGAGACAGAGGAGAGUGGAAUUUCGUGUGUAGGGGUGAAAUCCGUAGAUCUACGAAGGAACGCCAAAAGCGAAGGCAGCUCUCUGGGUCCCUACCGACGCUGGGGUGCGAAAGCAUGGGGAGCGAACAGG